rnacentral:rRNA from 1 species
CCUACGGGAGGCAGCAGUGGGGAAUCUUGCGCAAUGGGCGAAAGCCUGACGCAGCCAUGCCGCGUGAAUGAUGAAGGUCUUAGGAUUGUAAAAUUCUUUCAGUAGGGACGAUAAUGACGGUACCUACAGAAGAAGCCCCGGCUAACUUCGUGCCAGCAGCCGCGGUAAUACGAAGGGGGCUAGCGUUGCUCGGAAUUACUGGGCGUAAAGGGAGCGUAGGCGGGUUAUCAAGUUGGAGGUGAAAGCCCAGGGCUCAACCUUGGAAUAGCCUUCAAAACUGAUAACCUAGAGGAUGGAAGAGGUAAGUGGAACUCCGAGUGUAGAGGUGAAAUUCGUAGAUAUUCGGAAGAACACCAGUGGCGAAGGCGACUUACUGGUCCAUUACUGACGCUGAGGCUCGAAAGCGUGGGGAGCAAACAGGAUUAGAUACCCUGGUAGUCCACGCUGUAAACGAUGAUUGCUAGUUGUCGGCAGCAUGCUGUCGGUGACGCAGCUACGCAUAAGUACAUCCGCCGUCGGGAGGUACGGUCGCGAGAGUUAAACGUACGAAAGGUAAGUUAGUACGGUUCGUUGUAGACGUUGCCGACGGACGACGACGAGGGAGGAGG